UUAAAAGAAACUCUCUGUUUUCCAAAAACAAAAAUUUAUGCCCUAGUGUCUUAAACAUACACAAAACUCGUCUGCCUCUCUAUUCACGACCAAGAAUUUUGUUUUCUCAAAUUGAGUUUGUGGUUCGAGUUUGUUGGCUUGUGUAUCGCAGGUCUACCCAGUUUUUGACCUCCCUCGAUUGCGAAUCCCAGGUAUGACUCCUCUUCUGUGUUGAAACAAGUAAGUUUUUUCAAAUCUGAAAUAAAAAAAAUGAGAAAACAGUUCAUUUUCAACUGUCAUUCAAUAUUUUGGUCAAAUAUUUGGAGUUUUGCAAUCUUUGUUCCCCACAGUCUGAAAUGGUUUGGUAAUUAUUUUGUAGAAAGUGCUUUUUUGGUAUAUUAUUUUAUGUGGUUUGUAUUAUAGUUAAAACUUCUAGGUUGUAACUUGGCUACUAGAAUCAAGAUGUAAAGUAGUUGUCGUAGGUAUUUGGUAAAGCAGCGUACUCUAUUUAAGUUGUAAUUGCAGAAUUUGUGGCUAAUGAAUGGUUAUUUUGUCAAUUAUUAGAGCAUUUUUAAAUUUGACUGGUUAUUCUAGUUAAUAGUAGUUAUUAUGGUGAAUGGCUAUCAAUGAAUGGAGGGAGGAGAAAGGUUUGGGAUAUAUAUAGCAAUUCGUACAGUUACAAAUUGGAAAAAAAUAGACACAUAAUAAUUUUAGUUUUAUGUUGGAAGGGUUAGGCACCCAUUGUUAGGUGGAUAAUGUUGUGCACCCAGAGCCUACUGAGCUGGAGGGUGAGUUGGACAAGAAAGAUGCCAACCUAGAUGUCCAGAAAGUGGCGUCAAGAAGGAGCAUGUGUGUGAGGACUGUGCCAAAGAAGCUAGAUGUCACAUGAAGGGCAAGAAAGGUGCUGGGAGUUAGUAUAAGUAACUAGAUACUGGAAGGAAAAAGUAGGCAAGAAGUUAUAGAAAUUUCUUUCAUUCUCAUCUCUUAUGUUUACCUCCUUCUUCCAUGUUUGUUUAAGCUUUCAGUUGUUUGAUUCAAAUUUCAGCUGUUUGAUUCCUAUUGUAGUAGUUUGGUUGAUCACUUGAUCUAUAAUCUAAGUGUGUUUGGAUUGGUACUGUUUCAGAAUAUUAUGCCUUUCUGUUUCUUCAACCUUUAACCUUGACCAACACUAUUUAAGUAAAAUUUUGAUAGCAAGUUAUUGCUUUCUUAGAAUUUCUGCAAAGAAAUUUCCCCUUUAUUCGUCUUAAGCAACCUUUUGAUUCACAUAAAUUUUGGGUAUGUUGGAUCAUGCUUGUUUGAUUCCUAUUGUCUUGUUGGAGUUGCAGAUUCUUGAAUGUUACUAAUUUAUAUUGUAGUUGAUAUCAUUGAGCUAUCAGUUAAUUAAUUGCAUAUAUAAUUAAAUGCCACAUUUUUUACUAAUAUGAUUUCUUGGGUCCAUGUUCUAUAAGAAAGGAACGAGAGCAAACGCCUAGAUUUUUGUGCUCCUCUUUAGGGAUUUCUGAAAAUGAGGUGGAAUCUUUCCAUAAGAAUGCAGUUUAUGAUAAUCAACGUAUGCAAACUCCUAAAAGCACACGAUCAAAUUUUAUCAUGUCUUCUAAUUAAGAAAUACGAACAAUGGAUAAAAACUCAUUGGUUCUUAAGAAAAAGCAUAUGCAGACCAAUAUUUUAUUGCCUCCAUCUAGUGAUCAAGCUAUGAAAAACUCCCAAACAGUUGAAACAGGUAUGACAUUUUGAAUCCAUGUGUCAUUAAUUUGUAAAACUAAAUUUUGUUGCUAUAGUUUUAUCAAAUUAUCCAACUGUAGGUUCAUCUAAUCCUGAAAAGGUAAAAAGAGUUCAAGGUAGGAAUAACUGCAAAGAAAUUGCAUCACUUGAAGUCGGACAAAAGCUGAAAGUAACCUUUUAUAACAAUCGAACGAUUGGAACAAAUAACAAACUAUUUUCGAGGCACUUGGGCAGAAUAGUUCGUGACCGCAAUAUGUGUCCGCUGGGAGUAUCACCGUGAAAUGAUAUUAAGCAAGAAAAGUUGAAUCACAUGUGGGCAGCUAUUGAGGUACAAUUGCAACAUGCUCUUUUUGUUCCUAGCAAUAUUGGAUAUGGUUCAACAUGCCCCUUUCAUGAUGCUCUUUUUGUGAUUUAGCUUGAUCAGUGAGGUGCUGCAAACCUUGUGUAAACAGAAAUGCAAUUCUGUUUCAAGGCAAUAUAAAACAGAGUUGGUUUAUUUGUUUUUUCAAAUUAUUUCUGUUUAUGCUAGUAAUGACACUGUUGUCAACGUAUACAACCAUAUGGAGGCAGUAUAGAAUUUUGAUAGGAGAAGAAACAAUUCAACAUGCUAGGGGUCAAUCCAAAUUCAUGUUCUAGUGAUGUGGACAGAGAAUGCAAACAUAUUGUUGACAUGACAUACACAAUGACCUCUUUACAUGUGGCGUGUGAAGUUACGCUCCAGUUUGUGAUAGGGACAGAGAUGCCAAAUGUGGGCACAAUGACCUCUGCACAUGUGGCGUGUGAAGUUAUGCUCUAGUUAGUGAUAGGGACAGAGAUGCCAAAUGUGGGCGCAUGCAUCAGGGAACAGUGUGCUCUUUGGAUAACUAUGUUAGUCCUUUCGAGAUGAAACUCCUAUGUCAGUUUACCGAUUUGGUGAUGAUACUGAAACAAAUUUUGAGACUAUGAAUGAACUUCUUCUUAAACUUGCACAAUGAACUGCUUCUUGAACAGUGCAUUAACUAAAUAGAUAUUUUGAUUAUUGUAGAAUAAAUUUGAGAGUGUUGACAUGAAUGAUCAUCGUGAUCAUAUCUUGGGAUGAAAGAAAUGAAGAAAAUAAGGGAAUUUUUCGCUGCUCAAUAAUCACAUGUCUCGCCUACGACAUCGCUAAGCUGAAUGACUACUUUUGUCUGCUGAUCAACACUUUUGAUGUUGUUGUUGGAUAACACCUGAUAAAUUUAGACUGCAUUUGGGAAAUGCUUGGACAUGAAUUGAAGAAAAGUUGCAUAAAAUGGUACCUCAAAGCUACAAAAUGGAGCAAUAAAAGAAGACGUACAAGGCAAUAAAAAGUCAUGACUAUAGACAGUGCCUCGCGCAGAAACAUUGAUGCCAUAGACAGUGCCUCGCACGGAAAUAUUGGUUCCAUAAAGAGUGCCUCGAACGGAAAUAUUGGUUCCCCAGACAGUGCCUUGCGUCGAUGAUGCUAUCUGAGCCAAUUUUAUUUCCUCCUUAGUUUUUGACGUGGACACGUUAACCCUAUAUUAUAAAUACUUCUUAAAGUUAUUUUUUAAAAGAGGUAGACAUCAUUAGAGGGGAUUCGACCCAAGGAGGCAAGAACAUGCUAGGAGCAAAGAAGAGAAUUCUUCUACGAGUUUUUCACUUCCUUCUUCCUAUUUUUAUUAUUGGUUAUGAAUUCUAUUAUUGUAGUUUUGCAUACUAUUAAGAAUAGAUAAUUUGUUAUCUAUGGUUUUGAUGGAACCUUUUGUAAAAUAAAGUCUCGUUAUGUUUUUAUAUAAU